GUCUCUUGCAUUAAUUAGGCAAGGGAUAUUGGCAUAGUUCCAUCAUGGACUGCCCCCCACACCCCCAGUCUUGGGAUCUUUUUCGUGCAACGAGUCUGCAUGUUGGAACUCCCACUAACUCGCAGUCACUUUCUUCUUUCUAAUUUGAGCGAAUGGAGACACGACAGCAGUUUAUCCAAAGCCUAGCACGUCCCAUUGCUAUUAUUACCACUUAAGCCUUUUCUGAAUAAGACAGCUACACAGCUCCUGUGUAGGAGCGAUUCAGACUAGGGGAGUGUGCCAGGGGGCGGCAGGCUGCUGUGUGAACCGCCUUUGUACCAUGCCAGCACAGGCCUUGGCUAAGCAGUUUCCAGCGAUGGAAUCAUCUCAGGAACCAGGGCUCCUAACACCAGUGUCAACCUUGCCACAGAAGUUUGUACUGAAGAGCUGAGACUCUAGAAUCAGAACCCAGGCCCUCCCCUCUUCUUGGAGGGAUAAGCCAGGUAAGAGAAUUUUUGUUUGUUUUUUAAUCCAGAAAUUGUAUUCCCAUGCAGUUUACACACUGCUUUCCACUUGUGAGGUCUUAACUUCUCCAGGUUCAGACUCCAGCCUCUGAUGCAUGGAGCUUUCCCAGGACUGGGUCAGCUAUGACUUAUCUCCCCAACCUUUUCCUUGGAAUUCAAAGCCCUUUGCCUCCGUUUGAGAUAUUUCAGUUACGUUUCAGUUUAAGCUGUGUCAGUCACUAGGUGCUGCUUGAACAGAACCAGACACCCUGAUCCCACCCUCGUGGUCUAACGCCAGCCUUGCUUCAGCUCCC
ensembl:lncRNA